rnacentral:tRNA from 11 species
AGUGGCCUAGUGGUUAAGACGACCCUCUGGUGUGCCAGGGGUCGCAGGUUCAAGCCCCG